rnacentral:rRNA from 1 species
CCUACGGGAGGCAGCAGUGGGGAAUAUUGCACAAUGGGGGAAACCCUGAUGCAGCGACGCCGCGUGAGUGAAGAAGCGAUUCGGUGCGUAAAGCUCUAUCAGCGGGGAAGAAAUACUGAUCUUACGAUCCGCGGACGGUACCCGAGCAAGAAGCCCCGGCUAACUACGUGCCAGCAGCCGCGGUAAUACGUAGGGGGCAAGCGUUAUCCGGAUUUACUGGGUGUAAAGGGAGCGUAGACGGCGAGACAAGUCUGGAGUGAAAUGCCGAGGCCCAACUGCGGAACUGCUUUGGAAACUGGCGAACUAGAGUGCGGGAGGGGUAAGUGGAAUUCCUAGUGUAGCGGUGAAAUGCGUAGAUAUUAGGAGGAACACCAGUGGCGAAGGCGGCUUACUGGACUGUAACUGACGUUGAGGCUCGAAAGCGUGGGGAGCAAACAGGAUUAGAUACCCGAGUAGUC